CGGGAAGAUGGCGGCCGCACGUCACCCACAUCCGGGCACUGCGGGCGGGGGCGGGGCCGGCAGGCGACGCGUCGGGAGCCUGGGCGGUGGGGGCGGGGCCGGCGGGGCAGCGAGCCCCCCGCCCUCCACCGCCGCUCCCGCACCUGCGGCUGCACCGUGAGCCCCGAACCCGGGUGCUGCGGCCCCCCGCGCCCGCCGCCAGCCCGCCCCGUCGCGCCGCAGCCCUCCCGGCCGCCCCUCGCCACUGCCCUCUGCUGCUGAUGGCGCCCCUGAGCCCCGGGCCACGUCCUCCCCCACCCGCGAAACCCGUAAACCAGUCAGCACUCCACGCACACAGCGCCCCCUCCCCCGCGAGGCCUCGGCCUGCGCCCGGGUCCCGACGCCAGCGACCAGCCUCAGUGUUUGCAGGGGGCUGGGGUGGGAGGUUAGAAGGGGCAAGCGCAGGUCGCCGGACCACGCCGCGGAGGUGGAUGGGGCGGAGGGAGUUGGUCCCCUCGGUCCGCCCCGCAGGUGGAGGGCUCCGGGGAGGCCUGGAGCCCCUGGCCGCUGAGUAACGGGAUGUAAAGAAAGGGAGAAGAGGCAGGCUCUCCUCCCCCCACCCCCACCCCAACCAAGUCACUGCAGGGUGUGGGGCUCAGACCAGGGGUGCUUGGCAGGCCGGCCCGGCUGAGGUAGGCCAAGGUUAAGGCCAGGGAAGAGGGCACGAGGCUUCCCCGCGGGGCUGCUUCACGUGGUGGCCACAGACCCGCAGACCAGCCAAAACCCAGCUCUGUCCCAGAGUUGGGUCAGCUCCCCGGGCGACAGGAGGACUCAGCCUCUGGUCCCAGGCUGCGACAGGAGGGGGCUUUGGGGGUUUUCUGUUUGUUUGGUUUGUUUUUCUUUAGGGGGAAAGACAGUCGGCAUGAACUGCCCUGCAGUGCCCAGGUACAUACUACUUUACACGCGGAUCAGCCUCAUAGGUGUGACCUUGGCCAGUUCCUGUCCUGUCCCUAGACCCCAAAUACAUAACAUCUGUAGGCACUACACAUAUAGUUGUUAAAAUGCCUUGAUCUGGAACAUGGUGAGAGAUUAUUCACAUCCCCUUCCAUCCCUGACUGGUCUCUUUAGGUCCCUCUAAACAGCAGCUGCACCCAGUCCGCUCAUCCCCAGCAGGCCUGGCCCUUCGGAGAGAAGAUGGAACCAGAUGAGCUGACCGUCUUGUGGGCCAGCCGAAGCCUGGGGACUGGCUGUGUCACCAGAGGUGUCAUUUCCCAGCUGUCUGGGGAAGACCGAGAUGAUGGAGGUUUCUACAUUCACCUGCGUUUGAUAGCCAGAUCUCUGGGCCCCACUCCCAAGGCUCAUUCAAAAGAGGUUGGGGGGGGGGGGGCAAGUUCAUUUCUAACAAGCACCUAUGGGGAUUCUGAUGUAGGCGGCACAGAGAAAAACUUUAAUAAAGGCUUUCUUUUAUUGCGGUU